rnacentral:rRNA from 1 species
UCUCAAAGAUUAAGCCAUGCAUGUGUAAGUAUAAAUAGUUAACUUUGAAACUGCGAAUGGCUCAUUAUAUCAGUUAUAGUUUAUUUGAUGAAGAAUACUAAUUGGAUAACCGUAGUAAUUCUAGAGCUAAUACAUGUAUAAAGUCUUGUAGACUGCAUUUAUUAGAAUGAAAACCAUAGGUUUCGGCCUAUUCGUGAGUAAUAAUAACUAAUCAUAUCGUAUGCUUAUGUAACGAUGUGUCUUUCAAGUUUCUGCCCUAUCAGCUUUCGAUGGUAGUGUAUUGGACUACCAUGGCAGU